rnacentral:rRNA from 1 species
UGCCAGACUCCUACGGGAGGCAGCAGUGGGGAAUAUUGCACAAUGGGGGAAACCCUGAUGCAGCGACGCCGCGUGAGUGAAGAAGUAUUUCGGUAUGUAAAGCUCUAUCAGCAGGGAAGAAGAAGGACGGUACCUGAGUAAGAAGCCCCGGCUAACUACGUGCCAGCAGCCGCGGUAAUACGUAGGGGGCAAGCGUUAUCCGGAUUUACUGGGUGUAAAGGGAGCGUAGACGGCAUGGCAAGUCAGAUGUGAAAGCCCGGGGCUCAACCCCGGGACUGCAUUUGAAACUGUCAGGCUGGAGUGCAGGAGAGGUAAGUGGAAUUCCUAGUGUAGCGGUGAAAUGCGUAGAUAUCAGGAGGAACACCGGCGGCGAAGGCGGCCUGCUGGACCGUAACUGACGUUGAGGCUCGAAAGCGUGGGGAGCAAACAGGAUUAGAUACCCUCGUA